rnacentral:lncRNA from 1 species
GCAAGAUAAAUACCUAAAAAUUAUUAGCUUGCUUCUGUCCCAGCAACCUGCUUCAUUCUUUCCUUGGUCUAAAACAGUCUGUUAUAAUUGAGAAGUGUAAUCGCAGCCUCCUUCCUUAAGAAAAGAUUGUGGUUUUGUCUUCUUCCUUCCUCUGGAAAGUUUAUCACACAAUACAACCCACAGAGAAGUUGGGAGGGCUGAGGAAGCAACUCCACUUAAAAUUCAUCUUAAAGGAACCAUCUACAGUGGAAUUGAGUGAAGCUUACGCCAAAAGCAAAGAAAGCAACUUUGUCCCCCUAAAAUGUGCUUUGAGCUUCAUCGGUUCCUUAAAUCUCAAGAUGGGAGAAGUUGCUUCUGGUGGUUGGUUCAGCGUCAUCAGGCAGCUAGAAUGCAACGAGACGACUGCAUUGCUUCAUCACCCUUUCGUGAACAUCGUCAUCACGCAGGAGGAGGACAUUCUGACUCAAACACCUUUGCUGUCAUUGCAAAUGCAAUUUACAGUUCAGAAAUGUAUCCAAUCGGGAUGACGCAGAAGAAAGGAGAGCAAAAUUUGAAAUUCCAAAUUUAAAUGGAAUCACCAUCUGGUUUAUCUUUUAUAAUUAAUGACUCCAUGUACCGUCACUGAUAGUUUCAAAAUUCUAAAUCCCAAAUCUGAG